CAGUCGCCGCGGUAAUACGUAGGUCCCGAGCGUUGUCCGGAUUUAUUGGGCGUAAAGGGAGCGCAGGCGGUUUAGUAAGUCUGAAGUUAAAGGCAUUGGCUCAACCAAUGUAUGCUUUGGAAACUGUUAGACUUGAGUGCAGGAGGGGAGAGUGGAAUUCCAUGUGUAGCGGUGAAAUGCGUAGAUAUAUGGAGGAACACCGGUGGCGAAAGCGGCUCUCUGGUCUGUCACUGACGCUGAGGCUCGAAAGCGUGGGUAGCGAACAGGAUUAGAUACCCGCGUAGUCCCUGUCUCUUAUACA
rnacentral:rRNA from 1 species